GUGAUAUCGCGAUAACAAUAUUGAGUCGAUAUAUCAUGCACCCCUACUCCCUGGCAUGAGAUUAGCCUUGAGUCUUUGCCAUAACCUGGCCAAAACCUUUGAGUAGGGAACCGCAAUCGCGCAUAUUUCAUUUUUUUUCAACACCAGCCGCUCAUCUGCUGUCACCGACCAUUUGAUGAAGAGCAAAGACGAAGUGUCAUGCAGCUGUGGUAAUACGAAGGCACCUGCCCUGAAUAAGAUGAGGUCUGUGGCCUCAGUGAGUCAUCCAGACCCUAAAGAGCUUUGUGAAAACCAAAGUGGGCUGAAUGACUGUAGCCUUCUCCCCAACCCCCACCAUGAGGCAGCUCCAAUCAUCCAGCUGAACAACAUUCACAGAAUGAGUUGUAUUAAACCGCGGGACAAGACACUGUGCAACUCUUUUGUAUGAUUCUAGUGCUUUGACUUUCAAGUAUGAUUACCUGGACGUAAUAUAUAAUACAGCUCUUGACAAGGCGAUGACUUUAAUCAAGCUUCAAAGGGAACACACUGAUCUGUUUUUUUCUUGUUCUUAAAAACACAGACGUGUGAGUCAGCCAGAAGGCUUUGCUCAGAAGUUUUACGUAUUGACAGCAUGCUUACAUGCUAAACUAAGAUGACCAUGGAAUACAUUACCUACUAAACAUCUGCAUGUUAGCAUUGUCAUUGUGAACUUAUUAGCAUGCUAAUGUUAGCAUUUAGAGUACAGCCUCACAGAGCUGCUAGAUCUCCUAAUCACAAGGCAUGUGCAAAGUAGACUCAAAUGUGGCUCGGUCCUUUCCUGAUCCAAGAUUGAACCAGUUCAUGAGGCAAUAAAAUCCCAAACAUGAUAUUGUAGAAUGCAGAUGCAUUCAAAAGUUACAGCCUCCAUCCUUAGGAUUUUAAAGGCAUUCGAUUCAUCAGAGUGUAAAAGUCUGGUCACUACAUUACCCUGCUCUGUCAAAACAUGGUUUCAAAGACACAGACCCUUCCUUGAUAUAAAUGCUUCAGUAGUCUGGUGUCUGACUUUUAUUGGAUCGCACUGUCACUGUGCCACUGUGGUUAUGGGAAAUCGUCUCCUGCUCACAAUUACCCAAUCAUGUUACAGUGGCAGGCGCCAUUCAUUGUUGUCUAUUGUGUGUAGUGGCAGAGAGCUGUUAUGCCAGACCAGAAUGAUAUUUUAAUCAGAAAUUGUCCAAUUAUGCCAAUUAUGCUGUAAAGACAGAGACAUCAACGGUCUCGUCACUUCUGAGAUUUCGCUGUAAGCAAAGUGUGGUUGGUAUUCACUGCUGGAGCAUUUGCACAAAACCGUUUGAACACAGGGAAGCAAAAAAACAGAGGAUAUGGAUGGGUAGACAUUGAGAAUCUUAAUAUCUGUUUCAUGACCAUUGUUCAAACCCAAACAAUUAAUAACACCUUGAUGCCAACAACUCUCUGAACACUUAAAAGUGUUGACUAGGUGGAGGAACAAAAGCUCUGCAGAACGCUGAUGUUGUAAGGAUGUUUUCCUACACAGAGCAGCUCUUGUUUGACUGCUGUCUCUUUUCAUGCAUGAAAUGAUCAGUCACACCUGUACAGUCACAGUAAAAGUGGUGGCUGUAAAGGUCCUGUGAUCUCAAUAAAAACACCAAACACCUGGGUCUGCUUAGCAACGAGUGUAUGCAUGUGUGCGAGUGAUAGCACAGACACGGAGGAACACACACAUGCACACACACAUUCAGAGGGAAUGAAAAGCUGAAUCUAAAGUCUGAUUGUGUUUCUGAAGUUUGCACCCACCUUCACUUUGAAGACAGUGAAAACAAAUGUGCAAAUCUCAGCUGUGAACAUAAUCCAUAGACUUUGCUAAGUAAACCUGCACCCUUUGUCCUUGGACCCAAGUUGAAGAAAACAUGAUAUGAAUUUAUGUUAUGCUUAACAGAGCAAAAGAUAAGCUCUCAUCACAUUCCUUAAAGGAGUAGUUUGACAUUUUCGGAAUUAGGCUUAUUCUCUUUCCUGCCCAGAGUUAGCUGAGAGGAUCGAUACCACUUUCUGUAGCACAGGCUACGGUAAAUAUAAAGCUGGAGCAAGG